rnacentral:rRNA from 1 species
CCUACGGGUGGCAGCAGUGGGGAAUUUUGGGCAAUGGCCGAAAGGCUGACCCAGCGACGCCGCGUGCGGGAUGACGCCUCUCGGGGUGUAAACCGCUGUCAGAGGGGAAGCGGUACCCUCAAAGGAAGCACCGGCUAACUCCGUGCCAGCAGCCGCGGUAAUACGGAGGGUGCAAGCGUUGUUCGGAUUUACUGGGCGUAAAGCGCGCGCAGGUGGGUGUACAAGUCGGAAGUGAAAUCUCGAGGCUCAACCUCGAGGCUGCUCCCGAAACUGUACGCCUAGGGACUGGUAGAGGCUGGUAGAAUUCCCGGUGUAGCGGUGGAAUGCGUAGAGAUCGGGAAGAAUACCUGUGGCGAAGGCGGCCAGCUGGGCAGUCCGACACUGAGGCGCGAAAGCGUGGGGAGCAAACAGGAUUAGAUACCCUUGUAGUC